AAAACCCAAACCAGCAAACACUGUGCGGAAAUCAUGUUUCCUUUCCAGGUGACUGAAUAACUCAUGGCUCUUUUGCAAGACACUGUAAACUCCUUUUGUUCCGCUCCUGCAAGCUUCCCAUCGGGGGAAAUAAAGCACCCAUAGCUCAGCAUUGCUGCAGUAACACCCAAACCUCAGCAGAGACAACGGGUGACAUAAAGGGGUUUUGCAAGGUGCUGGAUCAGCAUCCCGUGCUCUCCAUCAGGAGCCAGAGGGCAAACUGGCUGCUGCCACGCUUGUGGGAGCAUUGGUUUGCAAGGUGACUGAGCUGGGCCGGCCCCGUUACACACUCAAUAAUUCAUAAGGGCAAACGAAUCACUUAUUGAUGGCAGCGAGCAUGCAAGCCAAGGCGAGGAGGAGAAAAUAACAUCAGCAAUCAGCCUGCGGAGAGGCUUGAAUGUAUUAAGCAGGAGGUGUGUGUGUGUGUGUGCACGUGCACCUUGCUGCUGCUUUGCUGAGUGAUGCGUGUGGUCGACAUGGCAGAGGGAAAGAUUUGAGAUACACCCUGCACUGCAGUGCCCACCGAACCACCCCGACGGCUCCCGGGGCAGCGGCACAUCAAUGGUGAGCCGUGUAGGCUGAAGCUUGCUGAGUUGCAGUUUACUCAUUGUUUUAUUUUACUUUUUGGUUGUUGUUGUCGUCGCUUGUGUUGUUGUUGUUGUUGUUGUUUUUAAGGUAGAAAAAGCCCAGCUGAGAGCCAAAGACAUGUUGGUGCCAAGCACUCAUUAGCAGAGACCUCUGGGAUGCUACUCCUCCACCUUGGCUUCUGAAGUGGUUUGUGCUGGUGCCUUUCCCCACGAUCCCAAGCCCAGAUAGUUACUGGGUCAUGCCAGGCCUUGGAGGCCCCGUGCAGAGCUCAGGGUGCCUUAUAUGUGGCUGGGCACCUGGGUGUGAUGUGCAAAUAGCCUGCUGCCCCUCCAGGCUUUGCAGAACGCUUCAGUGCCUAAAGUCUUAGAAUCAUUAAGCUUGGGAAAGACCACUAAGAUCUACUCUGACCAUCAACCCAUCAAAGGCAGCAGAUCUUACAAGUGUGGGAUCUGGUUCUUGCCCUUCCCCGUAUAGAAAGCUCUGGAAAUGAUCUCCAAGCACUGUGCUCUGUCACAAUGAGCUUCUGAUCAAUGCCUCUUUGUUAAGCACCAUGUGAACUCCGCUCUGCUUUGCACAACCUUGCCUCUGCAAAGUGUCUCACCGAUUUCUCUCUCCCAUUCCCUGAUACUCAUCUCACCCCAAGGGCACUGAAACAGCCCUUGGCAGCACUGUGCUGAGCCGCCCUUUGCUGGGGCAAUCUCACAGCUGAAGCAAAUGUCAGAGGAACGAGUCCUAAUAGACUUCACAUCACUUAGAACUGAAGGAGAUGUGGAGGUCACAGCAGCUGGACCUCAUUAAAGGGCAAAGCAAUGCAUCAUGCUCCCACCUAUAAAAGACCUUGCACCAAGCAUCUCAUUCUUAGCUGGUUCCUUGCACUGUGAUCUUUAAAAGAAGCACUGUCCUGGCCCUGGGUUUGCAUGCUUUUAGGUAAAGGCACUUGAAGAAGAUACCAAGAACUCUUUGUGGAAAGAGAAAUGGGACAGAGCUUUUUAGCAAUAGCUUGGUGAUCUCUGCAGCACAUGGGCACCCUGCCUCAGUCCUGCACCCGCCUGCAGGAGUUGGUCUGCGUGUUUAUGGAAAGCGCUGAGUCUUCAAAGGGCUUUUCAGAAGGUAACUAAUUAAUCCUCGCACAUCCCAGAGGCAGGUAAGUAUUAUUACCUCUGCUUUCAGGGAUGGGGAAAUCAGAGGUGCUGAAUGACAAAGAAAUGUGCCCAAGGCCACCUAGGCAAUCUCACCGGCAUGGCUUGGGUUAGACGUGGGGCUCUGCAUAUUGGGGUGAUGAUUCUCACCUAAGGAAGCAGCAUGCAGGCAUUGUGGUGAUGCCUCGCAGCCCUGAAUAGAAAAGGUCGCUCUUAUCUUUAUGGCUGGGGAAACUGAGGCAUGGGGUGAUGAAGAAGCAAACCUAUUGACAGAGCCUGGAAGAGAAGCUAAGUGUGAUCCAUGUUAGCAGCUAGGCUGAAGUUACCAAAACAUGGCUUGAGGAUGGGGACCCUUGGGCUCAAAGCCAGCAGUGGCUGGGGGGAGAUAUGAGCUGCAGGGCUGCAAACAAGUGACAGGACCACCCAUAGGGCAGCCUAUGCUGACCUCAAUCACAGCAUCUGCAGGAGUGAGGGUCAGGCCCCCCAUGGGGGGGGUCAAACUCCUUGUUUCUCUGGGAGGUGUGGGGCAGCAGCUUGUUUGCUGUUGGGGGUUAAGGGAGACCAACACAGUUAUAUCCAUGCUCAGGGGAGGAGAAGCAGCAGUUCAAAGGGACUUGGGCCAAAAGAGGAUCUUACAAAGGGUCUUACACCACUGGGGGUGCAUCACAUCUCCAUUUGAUCCCAUCUCUCCAGGACAAAGCUUGUCUAUUCUGGGGCAAGCAGGGGAACUGGAGACUCUGACUUCUGAAUUUCAUGUACUCAGUGAUUGUAGUGCAAUGGGAGAGGCCAGAAAACUUCUGGGAAGGAAAACUAGGGACUUUCUCAUGCUUUAUUGUCCCUUCCAUAGACAAGGUGGCUUUGUGCUUGCAGGUAGCCCCAGGGUGGACCUGGGCUGGGAUGGAGCAUCCAGGGGAAUUUGAUGCUGAAUGCCCUUGAGAAGGUGGGUUGAAGAGCUCUGAGUGACUAAUGGGGGAUCCUUAAGGCACAAAGUUGUCCCUGCAUGUGCAUCCUCCAGGCAUCUCAGCAUCACCCACAGCCCCAUGGAUGUGUCAGCAAGCUGGGGUGCUGCUGUGCAGGCUGGGCUGGGGGCUCAGCAUGCAAACAGAGGAGGUUCAGUAUCACUAUUUUCUUCCCCAGGCUGGGGGUGUUAGAGCAGGAAGGCUUUAAGGGAUAUCAGCAACUGUGACAGGAGCUGUGGGCAGCUACAAGGCUUGAAUCUUGAUGGCAUGCUUCAGUCACGUGCUGCCUCUAAAUCCCACUGUUCCCAAUAUCUAGGUUUAUGAUACAGACAAGUCAGAACCAAAAACCAAUCGCUUCCCUAUAAAGAUCCAUUAACAGGCAACAAGAUGGGGCAAGCCAAGAGUCAACAUCCCAUUUCCAGCCUCAGAGUGGAGAAACCAUGCCCAGAGAUAGAGGGUUAAAUAGCUCAGUUGGCCCUAAUUGGCACAUUUCAUUGACUUUCAUAGCUACUACGUUGACUGCUUUUAUAACUGCAUCAAUGCUGGGCUCCCUGCUUCCUUCCUGCACACAACGAGCUGUGCUCAGAUGGGAGCAGCAGGCUCCAAAUUUCCACCCUCGCUUAGAGAACCCCAUCAAUUCAUCUUGGGCUGCUCCUGGGGUUGGCUGCUCCCCUGGGACAUCAGGUCCAAGCUGAAACGGGGGGCUGACAAAGUUGCCACAAAAAUGAAAACUAUGAUGGGAGGGGGAACCAAACCUAGUGGAAAAUUUCCCAACGCAGCAUGUUGUUGUGACUGAAAGUGCCAUUUGGUCCAAGCCAAAACUACCCACUGGAACGUGCUGAUUUUGACAAAACUCAAUUUACAAAAUAGAAAGGCCCGCAGAUAAGGUUGAAAUGGUUUGUGCUAACCUUGGAACAGAAUGUUUCUUUUUUUUAUUUUGUGGUGUUCAUUCUGCCCGCUUUAAAUCAAGUUCUCUUUUUAUUAUUUACAUUUGAAGUCACAGAUUUAUUUUAGAACGACUUCCUCUGUAUUCUCACUUCUUCCAAAGGGAGUUCAGCACAACCCUGAGCAGAGCUGCAACCAAAUCCAAAUGCUUUGGCUGUAAGGCAAUGGGACUCUUUGGAUAAAGCCAGGCCAAUGCUGUCUCUUGAAAUCUUGUUUCUGUGUAAAUUCUCUCAAUGUCAGUUUGUUUCCAAGCAGAAACACCCAGUCAUCUCCAUGGCCAACCUCUCCAAGAGCUCUUGAGCCUAAAGAGCAAGCUGCUCCUUCUUGCUGGUGCAUCUCCCCACCUGGGCCUGCUGUCAGCAUCCCAUCCCUCUCCAUCCCUUGGUCGGGAGCUAUUUGGGGCUGUGCUGUGCAUCUCUGUGCUCCCCAUCCUCUUCUUGGAGCUGACAGACGGAUCUGCUCCCACCCUCCACCUGCCCACCAUGCCCACCUCCUCCUCCGUCUGCUGUUUGUGCCUUCCCACUUGCUAACAGUUACCCUUCAGGCUG